GAUGAACGCUGGCGGCGUGCCUAAUACAUGCAAGUCGAGCGAACGGACGAGAAGCUUGCUUCUCUGAUGUUAGCGGCGGACGGGUGAGUAACACGUGGAUAACCUACCUAUAAGACUGGGAUAACUUCGGGAAACCGUAGCUAAUACCGGAUAAUAUUUUGAACCGCAUGGUUCAAAAGUGAAAGACGGUCUUGCGGUCACUUAUAGAUGGAUCCGCGCUGCAUUAGCUAGUUGGUAAGGUAACGGCUUACCAAGGCAACGAUGCAUAGCCGACCUGAGAGGGUGAUCGGCCACACUGGAACGGAGACACGGUCCAGACUCCUACGGGAGGCAGCAGUAGGGAAUCUUCCGCAAUGGGCGAAAGCCUGACGGAGCAACGCCGCGUGAGUGAUGAAGGUCUUCGGAUCGUAAAACUCUGUUAUUAGGGAAGAACAUAUGUGUAAGUAACUGUGCACAUCUUGACGGUACCUAAUCAGAAAGCCACGGCUAACUACGUG
rnacentral:rRNA from 1 species